AAUAUUUUUACUAAAACUGUUUUUAUUUAAGGCCGGUCUUAAAAAAACAUGAAAGUCAUGCACAAUUAUUUAUUGAAAUCACGUUAUCUUUAAUGCUUAGUUUGGCCAUUUACAAUCUUGUACUAGCUGAAGCCAAAGGUCAUGUGUAGACUGUAUAUAUUACUCAUAGGAAUUGAAAAUUGUGGUCUUAUUUAAGUAUAUCUACCAAACAAACAUAAGAAGAUAUCAACAACUGGAUGCAAUGUUCGUUCUUCACCAAGAAGGGAGCCAUAAUAUCAAUGAUCUUCUGUUCAGACCAAAACUAAUUAUUCUUAACACACUUAAUAUUUUCUUAAUAUUUCACCCGUGAAAUAUAUUAGAGAUUUUAUGAUCCUAGAAAAAGACUAUAGAACAAGGAGGAUUAAUAUAGUGCUAGCGAGCCUAAAACAAACGGGAAAAUAGACAGAAAAUUAGUGAGUAUAAACCUCAGAAGAGAAAUUGAAAUAUAAUGUAAGUUUAAACAGGAUGAAUAGAUGAACAAUUGAAAACUAAAUCAAAAGAGUGAAUUUAUAAGAAUAAAAGUAUAGAAUAAUAAUAGUAAUGGAAGAUGAUUUAAUGUAUAAAUUGUUUAAACAAAUAACAGUCCAAACCCUUACAUGGGCAGCUUGCAAAAGAGAUAAAAAGAGAAACAAUAAACGGAACCCAGAUGUGGACGUGGCUGCCAUACGCAAAUAUAAAUACAGAAACAGGGGCAUGAUAACGGCAUGCCAAUAUCAAGUUAUCGCAGUAAACUAUAUGACAAACUAUAAAAAUAUUAUCGUGCUUUCACUGAAAACAUACAUCAAUCAUUACAGGCUCUCAAAAAAACUUGAACUGGCAUAAGACAGUAGUAAAACAUCUUCAUUGGAACAUCAGUAAACACUACAAUAUAUGUGAGAAAUGGUACCAGCAGAAGUUACCAUACCAUUAUGAGACACACAGAUACUUCACACGGAUAAAACAAACAUGAUAAACAAACCACACAUAGUGAUUAAUCAGAAUAAAAAGAAACAAUACCUUUUGAACGAUGUAGCAGUUGCCAUUCAAAUAUAACAUAAC